CAGGAUGCUAAUCAGCUGGAGAUGAGACUUCCUGGCAUCCAGGAGACUAUGGUGUCUCCAAAACAUCCUCUUGGCAGGAGGUGUGUGUUGGCUGCAAAAGCAAGUGUGAGAUCUGGAGAGAUUGAAUCAAUGAGACUAACAGCAAGAACAGUAACAACAAUUACAAACCUUUUAUUCAAUAUAAACAAACAGUAAGUAAAGAAGUGGAAGCACACAGUCAGCAAUGACUCAUUCGGGCAGCUCUCCAGAUGCCUCCCCAUAAUGAAACACACAGGUAAGUGACAACUUCCUGUGCAGAAAUCAAAUCACACCCAGAUAGCUACUGUUUCUUCUUUUUAAAAAUUAAUUUCUCAUUGAACAAAAAUCUAUUUUCUCUCUCCC
rnacentral:lncRNA from 1 species